rnacentral:rRNA from 1 species
GACGAACGCUGGCGGCGUGCUUAACACAUGCAAGUCGAACGAUGAAAGAGAGCUUGCUCUCCGGAUUAGUGGCGAACGGGUGAGUAACACGUGACUAACCUGCCCCUUUCUCUGGGAUAACGCUCCGAAAGGAGUGCUAAUACCGGAUACGAACUCUGAACACAUGUUCGGAGUUGGGAAGUUUUUCGGAAAGGGAUGGAGUCGCGGCCUAUCAGCUUGUUGGGGAGGUAACGGCUCACCAAGGCGACGACGGGUAGCCGGCCUGAGAGGGCGACCGGCCACACUGGGACUGAGACACGGCCCAGACUCCUACGGGAGGCAGCAGUGGGGAAUAUUGCACAAUGGGCGAAAGCCUGAUGCAGCGACGCCGCGUGAGGGAUGAAGGUCUUCGGAUUGUAAACCUCUUUCAGUAGGGACGAAGCGAAAGUGACGGUACCUAAAGAAGAAGCACCGGCUAACUACGUGCCAGCCGCCGCAGUAA